rnacentral:ncRNA from 2 species
ACGAGGAAGCCGGUGUGAUCCGGCGCGGUCCCGCCACUGUGAUCGGUGGAGCCGUUCCCGACAGGCCACUGCCCGCGACGGGGUGAAAGCCCAGGACCCGGCGUCGACCCGAGAGCCAGGAGACUC